rnacentral:tRNA from 2 species
GGCGGAUGUAGCCAAGUGGAUUAAGGUAGU